rnacentral:lncRNA from 1 species
CAUGAAGUUUCUAAUUUAAUUUUUACUCUUGUAGUAGAAUAGCACGUCAUUUUGAUCUUCUAUUUAUUCGCUUAUCUCUGUGAACUUCCUUUUCAUCUCAUUUUGUUUCUUUCAUCAUUUCAACUCUGGGUACUGACUUUAUUUACAUUUCUCUCCCUUUUUUUUCCAAGCAAAGUAACUUUGUGGCACAUGUCCUGCUCCUGCUGGGAUGCCUUCUAUUCCAUUUGCUUUUCUGUAGACUGAAGUGACAGGACAGGGAUGCAGAGAAGGAAGCUCAGCCCAGGCU